CCCGCACAAGCGGUGGAGUAUGUGGUUUAAUUCGAUGCAACGCGAAGAACCUUACCUGGUCUUGACAUCCCGGAGACCCUUAGGAAACUAGGGGGUGCUUCCAUCUGGAAGAAUCUGGAGACAGGUGCUGCAUGGCUGUCGUCAGCUCGUGUCGUGAGAUGUUGGGUUAAGUCCCGCAACGAGCGCAACCCUUGCCUUUAGUUGCCAGCAGUUCGGCUGGGCACUCUAAAGGGACUGCCGGUGUUAAACCGGAGGAAGGUGGGGAUGACGUCAAGUCCUCAUGGCCUUUAUGACCAGGGCUACACACGUACUACAAUGGCCGAUACAAAGGGCAGCGACACUGCGAGGUGAAGCCAAUCCCGUAAAAUCGGUCUCAGUCCGGAUUGGAGUCUGCAACUCGACUCCAUGAAGUCGGAAUCGCUAGUAAUCCGUUGAACUCACGAAUGUCAACGGUUAGAAUAACGUUCCGGCCGUU
rnacentral:rRNA from 1 species